UACGUAGGGGGCAAGCGUUGUCCGGAUUUAUUGGGCGUAAAGAGCGUGUAGGCGGCUUUGCAAGUCCGUUGUGAAAACUCGAGGCUCAACCUCGAGACGCCGGUGGAAACUGCAAAGCUAGAGUCCGGAAGAGGAGAGUGGAAUUCCUGGUGUAGCGGUGAAAUGCGCAGAUAUCAGGAAGAACACCCGUGGCGAAGGCGGCUCUCUGGGACGGUACUGACGCUCAGACACGAAAGCAUGGGGAGCGAACGGG
rnacentral:rRNA from 1 species